UUUGGAAGUGGUUUCUCUUGGAUUCUUGAUGUAUUUUUCCUCAUUUUAGAAGCCUUUUGGAGAUGGAUAGAGGGGCAUUAAUUGUAUCUUUUUUGGAUUGAAAAACUAAUCAUAAUAAUCUAUUAGGACAUAAAGAUCGACAUUAGUGUCACCCCAUGGCAUAGGGGGUAGACACUAGUAUGAAAAAAAGAGGAUAGCUCUCUAUUACCACCAUGUAGUAAGUAUCACCCUCUGGUCCAAGGAUCGAUACUAG
rnacentral:lncRNA from 1 species